GACGAACGCUGGCGGCGUGCUUAACACAUGCAAGUCGAACGGAAAGGCCCUGCUUUUGUGGGGUGCUCGAGUGGCGAACGGGUGAGUAACACGUGAGUAACCUGCCCUUGACUUUGGGAUAACUUCAGGAAACUGGGGCUAAUACCGGAUAGGAGCUCCUGCUGCAUGGUGGGGGUUGGAAAGUUUCGGCGGUUGGGGAUGGACUCGCGGCUUAUCAGCUUGUUGGUGGGGUAGUGGCUUACCAAGGCUUUGACGGGUAGCCGGCCUGAGAGGGUGACCGGCCACAUGGGGACUGAGAUACGGCCCGGACUCCUACGGAAGGCAGCAGUGGGGAAUAUUGAACAAUGGGCGGAAGCCUGAUGCAGCAACGCCGCGUGCGGGAGGACGGCCUUCGGGUUGUAAACCGCUUUCGCCUGUGACGAAGCGUGAGUGACGGUAAUGGGGAAAGAAGCACCGGCUAACUACGU
rnacentral:rRNA from 1 species